rnacentral:lncRNA from 1 species
AGAGAGAGAGAGAGAGAGAGAGAGAGAGAGAGAGCUGUGCAUCAGUUUUCACCUUCAAGCAAUGAGUGGGGAGUGGAGGACCAUCGCUUCCAAUCUCGCCAAGCCCAGAUCCGGCCUCGUCGGCUUCGGGCGACCUCAGAUCUGGUGUUGCCCACGGCCGCGAAUAGACGGAGCGAGGCUGCCUCGAGGAGAGAGAGUCGGGGACAGAGAUGGUGGCUUGGCCGAGACGGGACGCGAAACGAUCGGCGCAGGCGAUGGCCGGGGGCGGCUCGACGAUGACG